GGCACCCAGGAACCCAUACGGGGCACGCGCCUGCACAAUCAAGACUUAAAACGAGAUGUAUUACAGCGUUCAUAGGAAAUUCAUGAAAUUCAGUAGAACAUCAUAAUGGGGGCAUCUCCUUGACUCAGUUGGGGAUAAAAGUUACUGAAAAUGCAAUGGUGGCGAGUGAAAUCCGACUUGAUGGAUAAAGCAGAGCUGUUUUCGCUGCAUGGCCCAGCGUUCGUAGCGUCAGGUCCGCACUGCCUUGGGGCUGUUAUAUUCACUGGGUCAGAUUUCACAUGCCAGUUGCUACCACAGAAGACCUUUCUGUGUAUGGCGGGUAGUGUUACAGAACUGCCGCUUUGGAAACCGUAAUAUACCAUGGUGCAACAUUCUUGCUGUUGAUGAGCAUGUGCCAGUGGCGUAACUAUACUGCAAUCAAUAUUGAUAUCAAUCAUAUCAGGGUGUUAUAAUUUCUAGGGAUACGACACGGCGUCUGGCUGUACCUCAGACCCAACUGUUUCUCACUCUGGAUUCGGGACUUGAACCGAUGAAUUUUGAAACCUGUUAGGCUGUUAGGAUCAGCAGGUCGUUGACGUCCCGGGCUUGUGCUACGGUAAAAAUACAAAUUUUCAUUUUGGAAAACUUUUGUUUGCAAUUAAAUUUCGACUUUUCAUUGGGAACUAUUGUCAUGUUCACAAAUGGCCUAUGGAUUCAUUCAUUUCUUUACUUGGCAAUCAAUCUUCCAAAAGCAAACGGAUGCUUAUUUCGGGAGUUUUGAAUGGUAGGAGCAGGGCAUUUGUGGAGAGAUUAAAAAAGAGUGAAGGGGCACUAUUAAGGUGCAAGAAUUGAGUACAGAUAAGCAUUGAUAACCCCCUCCCCCAAGAGUGUGCAACUCCCAAAUACCCUGCUGUCCCGACAGAAUUUAAAGUUGACGUCAUUUUUAUGAUGCAAUGCUCCUUGCACCAGUGAUUUACGUCAGCCCAUUACACGUUUUUCUUCGCACUAGUUUGUACAGGAUCAAAUGGGGCUUUGUUCACCACACGUUCAGAUGUCUGAUAAUCCGUGUACAGUGUGUACUGCAUCAUAAAAAUAUGUCAACUUGAAAUUCUGUCCGGACAGACAUGCAUAGUCAAGUUGCAUGCUCUUGGGGGGUAUGUACUCUUAGUCCGCAGGCCAGGGUGCAAAAUUCGUACUUUUCGCUCCGAGCAGAAGGGUGCCAAGGUUUGACUAUACGAAAUGAUAGAGUGGUGCUAGGGCUUUCUUAUCAUGUACUUGGUCCGGCUCAUCGCAAUUGUCGCUUAUCUCCUACGCACUUUUUGACAGGUAAAACCCAGUCCAAUCACGAUAUCUAACUUACUUUUGCUUGGGAGGUUGUGAUGGCAAGAUCAAAUGAGGCACCAAAGAAAAAAUGAUCGCGACUAGCGCUUUGAUUCGCGAUGUGUUCGACUUUUUUGGGAAGUGGAAAUCUGGCCAUUCACUGUCUGUGUUGCCAAAAAAGCCAAGCGCAGCGACCCGAAGACCGGAACUGUAGCAGGGGCAACUGACAUCCUGGAGAGCGUGAUAGGCACGCUUGCACGUUAUGCUGAAGAAGAAAGGUGUUUUCGAUGCGAUGCACGCAUGCGAGGGAAGUUUUGGUUGUUCCUUUUGUUCCUUCGUGGACCUGGCAGCAGCAUUACAAGAGUUCGUCGUCAGCGUAUCCAGUGGAGCGUAUGACAGCUGUCUGGAGAGGCCUGUAUGCCUCAUUCGAAGGCUUUGUUGAAACACACUGUGGUGACACAGAGGUCACACUGCCCACGGUUCAAGCACCGAAGUGACAGACACUUACAGGCUGACAAAGCAAGAGAUACUGUAUCAGUCUACGCCAGCAGCAAGACACCAGCAAUUUAAUGUCAGCUCAUGUAACGGCGGCAGCUCAAGUGAUGGAGAGUUAAAUGUGUAGGAGUGUGAGUGCAAGAGCGCUCCUUCGCUGAUUUAUUUCGUGCAUUUUGCUUACCUUGCUUCCCUUCUAUGACUCGCUUCACCUGAUUCCAGGGCUGAAUUUUGUUUCUUGUGGCGGAGAGUAUUCAUGUAUCAUGCUUCCUCACUAUACCCAUUGAAAAUUUCACAGAGCGGCAACAAAACUCCUGUUCUUUGUGGCGAUAGAUAAGCGACAAUUGCGAUGAGCCGGACCAAGUAUCUCUUGUCCCGGGAUUCUUGUCCUAAGUUGACCAAAUCAAAGGAAUACUAUUAUUUUGAUGUUGCCAUGGUAACGGAAGUCGAAAUUCAAAUUUUACCACCUUUCCUAUGCUGUAAGCAGUUCCAGUUUUUUGCAUUGCCAAAGAAAGACCAAGAACCACCGGUAUCCAAGGUUUGAUGAUAAUCGUGCAACUAGAACCCAUGCUGGGGUCGCCCGCAGUACGACAAUUGUGUGCAUACAAAAGGUCAAUACCAUUGCACUGUAAGUACAGUAGUUGGGUAGAAGGGGGGUGCUCGGCCCCUCGAUUAGGGAUGCAGAAUGGGGUGGAAGGGGAGGCUCUCCCCUCGUGAUAUACCUGGACAUUUUACAGUCUUUAUCACUUCUUGUGGGCCUUGUUUCACAAUACAAUUCAGAAUGCCCUUUGGUAUGCAAUAGCAGCUCGGUUGUAUUGAGUCCCGUCUAACGCAGACGAGGCAGAAGAUGGUCCAGCUAUCCCGGACUCAACGAACAGAUCAAGGAGACCUGCAUCACGGAAACGCUUCCCGAUGAUGGCGAGGAACGUGCAGGCUGCGUGAAACGCUCCCAAUCUCAGCACCACGGGUGAGAACUUGUCAGGCCGGUGGUUAAUAAUGUCCAAUGCCUUUGCGUAAAUGGCUUGGUCCACUACAAUGAUGCUAAAUGGGAGGCCAGCAUUGGCACAUCGACCAAGGCACUUUCUGAGGAUGGCGUAGACUGUUGACAUGUCAGUUGGUGACGAGUUGACCACAGGGCAGUAACCUAUGGCAGACCGUGGUGGGAUGCAUUGGCGUUGAAGCAGGGCAUUAAAUGCCGACCACGCUGGAACUGUCUGGUCUUGAUCAGUGCGGGACAAAAUGACGUUGCCGAUGUCACCGUCCUUUGAAGCCCGUGCAAGCUGCCAGAUGAAGUCAUCCAUGGCCACCGCGUCAGAACAGUGAGGCAGUGAGGUGUCCAGCGUCUCCACGUCAACUGCCUCACGGCGCUCUGGGUUGACUUUUGUCGGGCACACUAAUUCGGGAAGAACCUCAGGUUCGAGGGCCAGCGUACGCUUGCGUUUUCGUGCUGGCUCAGCAGGAGAAACAUCACUGUCAGGGCGGCUUACAGAUGAAGCACGGGGCUGGACAACAACGGUGUUGGUGCAGUGUGUGGUCCCUUUCCCAUCCAGAGUCUCCUCGUUUAAGUCGUUAUUAUCUGCUACAUGGUAGAAUGGCCGGUGGGGGUCAAUGCCACCCGGUAACGCAUCCACUAUGUGCCCGUCUCGCACUCGCCGCUCUGCCAUAGCAGUCUCCCAUUCCAAAACCUGGGAGUAGGCAAUGGUGUGCCCAAACCGGUUAAGCAUUUUCAGCAGCUUCUCGCUCCGGUGGAGGUGAUGUAGGGUCAGUCCCAGAACAACAUGUUUGGGGCACGGCAGUCCUGAUGUAAUAUACAGCAGAUCCUGGCCAAUGGAGGAGACGUGACGUUGCAGCUGCUCAUCCAAAUGAACUUUGUCCUGACCGAUGUCAUCAUGAUGCUGGUCAGUCACUACCCAAGCCAGAAAGUUGUGGAGUAGGCUGGGUAAGCAUGCGUUUGCUUCAGCAACUGUUGGGAUUUCCCCGCUUGACUCUUGGGCCUUUGUCUCCUGGCACGCAGUCCGUAAAAGGCGUGCGGCGUGAUAUGCAAUACGCAGGCGAUCUUGUGCUACAACACCUUCACCUCCUGAAGUGUUAGCUGCAUUGUCCUCCUCCACCCAAAUAUCAUCAUCAAACCCAUCCGAAUCCCUCGCCUCUUCCACCUCGGCAUACAAACUGGCUAUUAUCUCACUGGCAUGGGCAUUAGCGAAAACUAGCUCAGCCCUGUUCCGGGACGGACGGCGCACAAAAGUGACAGAUUCACCAAACCGUUCUGUGAUAGCAGCUUUGGUUCUGUCAUUCCUAGCAGUUCCAUGUACUGUCGCGUUGUAGUCUGCCGUAAGACGUGAAAUGCUAACAGCAGUGCGUUCCACAAACAGCAACUGGUGUACUAGGUGGUAAAAGUCUUCGAUGUUUCCCUCUUGUCUUGGUGUUGGCAGGUCAUGCUCAGCGCUACCUGCCGACGAGCUAGUGACUAGGGUCGAUGUAGCUGGGGUCGAUGUAGCUGGUGUGCUGUCACGGAUUCGUGCAAGGGAUGACUCUUGUAAAAUCGUUGUAACACUGUUUGUGAUAGUAUGCCUCUCUUGCAAUGAGGCUACUGACUGCUGAAAUGGCAAUCGAAAUGCCCUCGUCCUUCCGUAUGGCAGCAGCUUUUCUCAGCCUUUCCUCAGCUUCGAGUGUCGAAAUCUGCGAAGUACUCUGCUUUUUGUUGGUACCUGGUAUUCUUUUCUGGAUGGAUCCACAAAAUAUGCAAUUCUUCCUUCCUGGCUCGAUACGGGGAACUUCAACGGACUGGCGAGUACUGCGCUUGUUUAGGGACUCUGAAGAAGCAGGCGAGGACGCCAUGAGCUGGACGACAAAGGCCUAACACAACGCGCAAUCAUUGCCGUCCGUAUACCAUGAUUGCUUGGUCGUCUUGAUUCUAACAAGUGUGAGCCGAAUGCCGUUGUCUCCUGAGCCAAUGCAAUUUCUUUAGGUGGCUGCCCGCUGCCGCGUAACGCACACAAUCCCACAUUGGGUUUCUAUUUCACCAUCUAGAGACUACUGUAACUGUGUGUUGUUCGUAUCCAGCAGAAUACAAGUUAGAUUUCAAGGGCCAGUGUCACUUCACAGCAUGCAUAUGAAAAGCAUUACUCAUCAACUACCAAUUGUAGUGUAGUGUAGAUCUACAGUCUCCAUAUGAAAAAUGUGUGUGAAACUUUAUCAGGACAGUACCAUGGCAAAUGGCACGGGUUCUGGUCUGAUCAACCAGAUCACAAUAGCCACAGCUAUUCUAGAACACAAGCUUUCGGGUCAGAUUUCAUGGGAUUAAAAAAAAUGUCAGCUGGCAAUGCAGGACAUAAGUUCAGCAAGAUGGUGAGAUCUGCGAAGUACUCUGCUUUUUGUUGGUACCUGGUAUUCUUUUCUGGAUGGAUCCACAAAAUAUGCAAUUCUUCCUUCCUGGCUCGAUACGGGGAACUUCAACGGACUGGCGAGUACUGCGCUUGUUUAGGGACUCUGAAGAAGCAGGCGAGGACGCCAUGAGCUGGACGACAAAGGCCUAACACAACGCGCAAUCAUUGCCGUCCGUAUACCAUGAUUGCUUGGUCGUCUUGAUUCUAACAAGUGUGAGCCGAAUGCCGUUGUCUCCUACGACGACAUUAUGAAGCGGAGAUCUGCGAAGUACUCUGCUUUUUGUUGGUACCUGGUAUUCUUUUCUGGAUGGAUCCACAAAAUAUGCAAUUCUUCCUUCCUGGCUCGAUACGGGGAACUUCAACGGACUGGCGAGCAGUCGAUGCGCCAAGCCAGCUAGAGUGGGUCUUUUUAUUUUUUUCGCGCGAAAGUUUAUGUGGUGAACUGUGUUGGUAAAGAUGAAGAUGUCAGUCAAUGAAAUUUGCUAUAUUUCUUGUGUCUAACCAACCCUGUACGGAUCGAACUGACGAUUCCCGAGUGCGACAAAUGUCCUGAAGUCUGCUCCUAUUAGCUAGGUAUCUAGAAAUUUCAACUUGAGUGUCAAGUGAAGACUUUGCCAGUUGCAGACGAGGGAAUUCUCGCUUCACGAUUUUCCUGGUGUGUGGAGAUACGUCGGAAUGCCGACCCACCACACCCGACAUGAUGCUUCGGCCGGAAUGCAGAAAGGAUCAUAUGUAGUGCCUUCUCAGCAUUACAUUACAUCCAUUGCGUAGCAGCAAUGUGCCAUCCUUCCGCGACUUAGUGGAAUGACGUGCAAGUGGUGCUCCAGGGUCAACUUCAAUUUGCCGAGCACGUAUGCCGCUGGCUUGGGGUCAGCAGCUGGGUGCAAAGUCUCUGUAUACAAAUCGUGCACUGUCGUCAACAAUAUGGCAUCCUUGUCCAGCAAUUCCCGUCCUGUAGCGGCAAUGACUAUAAUAUUGGGGAAAUCACUCUCGGCACCUUCCGUGCUGUACUGAGAGAUGAUGCUUCGCAAUUGGUGGUCUGUGCUUGGUGCAUUGUCGGCAGGGAGCAUGUCAAUUUGCUUUUGGUAGCAGCGUCUACAAAAUCGACUCUCGUCUGAAAUCCUGACAUGGUGCAUGCUACGCAACACAUGCUCUGCAAGCUGAAAGUUUGGUGACUUCCACCUGUGUUCUGGUGUGAGUCUCGACUUACACCAAGCACAUGUUGCAUGGCCCACACACUGCUGGUAAUGGGUUGGGCACAGAAGCGGUUCGCACUGUUCUUUCAGACUGUGCACGCGCAGUUUGUCUGCAGGACAGUGUACGGAUGCCGCUCCGCUGCAAUCAUGUACACUGCAUGUGCUUUGGCUGACUGGUGGCUUAUUUUCUUUCGCUGCUGUGCAUACUUGGCGUCGUAGUGCUUUGACGCACUUGCAAUAAAUGCAUUGGCCUGACGUGA